UACGUAGGGGGGCAAGCGUUGUCCGGAAUCAUUGGGCGUAAAGAGCGUGUAGGCGGUCCGGUAAGUCGGCUGUGAAAGUCCAGGGCUCAACCCUGGGAUGCCGGUCGAUACUGCCGGACUAGAGUUCGGAAGAGGCGAGUGGAAUUCCCGGUGUGAGCGGUGAAAUGCUUAGAUAUCGUCAAGAACACCUAUUGCGAAGGCAGCUAACUAGCUUAACUGACGCUGAGGCACGAAAGUGUGGGGAUCAAACAGG
rnacentral:rRNA from 1 species